UCUUAUUUCACUGUCAAGGUCAACAUCACUAAAUCUUGCUUCCCUUGAAAUUCCCUAUAGAGCGUGGAUCUAAUUUGCAAAAUAUCUGCAAUUCGUGUCCAAGUAAAUCCGAAGGAAUUAAUAUCUUAUACUCAUCUGGUACUCAUCUGGUAAGGUAGUUAUCGUGUUAAUUUAUAUUCUUAACCCUUUAACCGUCGGAUUCUUAAUUUCUAUCGGGCGGCUCUCGUUUUUCCUCCUUUGGACGGAACAGGAAAAAAACCAAAGUGUGGAAGGUUGUGCCUGUUUGCAGUACUGUCCCUAAGAGAGGGACAAUUGUGCCGAAUGGGACUCGGCAGCAAAUGGUUCACCGCUGAAGACCGGCUAGAAAUUGCCGACUAUCUCUCUGCUGAAGAGUUGCAUUUCCUGAUUGUUUGUCUCUACCCCCAACUAAAAGGAAAACCUUACGAGUUUUGUAAAGCAGCCCCGGUAACAGUGUCAUUUUCACCCUUAAAAUCAGUGAUGAGAGCUAGACGUGGGAAGACCUUUCAUCCUUUUUUCAGUGUCAAUCAGUUAAGGGAACAGGUGGGCAAAGUUUAUAUAAGGUCCUUCACUGACUGAAAUUGAGGCAAGUUGCUUGUUUACUCCACAGUAUGAAGUGCAUUAUCCAUAAUUAUAUAAUUAUAUAAGCGCCCCCUCAAUGUGAAGAAAUGUUACCGCCGUAUUGAGUAUUAGCAUCCAUGCAUUCUCUUUGGUACUAUGACUAAUUAUCUACAAUUAUUGCGCAUUGCUAUAUACUGCAUGCUUUUAGGGAACUCCCAAUUUUGACCAUACCAUGCAAGUAUUUGCUGUGCAUGCUAGCUAGCACUGUGUCACUGAAGUGCAGUGUAGCACACAUCUCAUUGUAUUUUCCUCCACAGAAACACAGUAAUCUAUGACAGGCACAAAGAGGCUCCCCCUAACCUCCUGCAAACCUUUAUUGUGUUGAACUGGUCAUGUGUACACGUGUAGGGGGUCAGAGGUCGGAGUGAGGUCUAUUGCAGUUUGUGUGACUUUGCUUUUUGUUAGCCGCUACUUUAAAGUUCAUUUUUAUUUUAGAAAGUGGUUAAAUCUCAAGUCUCAAGUGUGCCACGGGACCCAAGGCUAGGUAGACGUCUCCUACUGGUCAACUUGAAACUGCAACUGAUAUUGAUGACCAGAUCCCACUGCCUUCUGCUGCAACUGAUGAUGAUGACCAGAUCGGCCCCCAUCACUGACUCAACUCUGGGCUCUCUACGCGAACCCAUUGAAGUGACUCGUGCCAUUAUGCAUCAACAAGAUGAAGAGUAUGCCGAUAGCGAGAUCAAGAAAUGUGUAUGUGUGUGUGACCUUUGCAUUAACGUGCACUGCAGGAAAGGAUACAGGAUACGUGUAGAAAAUAACGAGGAAGAAGCUAGAAAGUUACGAAUAGAUGAGGUAACAUUACUAUAACAAUUUUAAUUACAGUGGUACAAACGAAACGUGACAUGAAAGGGUCAGUGAUUCCCGAACCUGCUGAAGGACUUGAUGGUGUGGUCCACAUUCGGGUCAGACUCCCCAAUGGACAGCGGACAGCGUGUUUCAAGAAGAUUCAACGGCUCUGAUGAUGUGAAGGAGCUCACUGCUUUUGUUGGAUCACAGGAGUGCAUCAACCUGAGACAUUUUCGUCUGCUUGUCAGUGACGUACCCCAUUGGCGGGUUUUGUGUGAUGAGGGGUCACUCAGAGCAGCUGGAAUCCAAGCAUUCACACUUGUAACUGCUGAGAACACUACUGUAAGUGCAAGUAUGUGGGACUGUGCUCUAAAAAAAUUAUAGCCUCUGUUGAGUAAUGAUUUUGUAUCUUGUAUUUUGUGCAUACGUAACUUUGUUUUGUGAGGGUUCCAAGAGAAUCGAGUGUUCCGAGAGAAUCGAGUGUUCUGGGUAGCCCAAUCUACAACGACCAUAGUAUGAUGCAGGAUGACGUUUCUCCUGACCUCGCCAAUUUUAUGGACCUAACUGAGACUGAUGAGACUGAUGACAAUGAAGACAAAGGGUCAUCUGUUCUAAGCCGCUUCAACUAUUGCGAUUAACAUUGAAUGGCGUGCACCAAGUCGAGGUUGGUCGUCUUUGAGAAGUGUAUCGUAACAACCCGAACAUUGUUCAGGUAUUGAUGGAGUGGGAUUAUCAAGAGAAUUGUUCUCUGCAUUUUGGCAAAGUGAGAAAAUUCCUAUCAUCACUCCUGAAACGACUUUC